CACUUCAGUUCAGUCACUCAGUUGUGUCCGAUUCUUUGCCAGGGACAGGGGGGCCUUGUGGGCUUCAGUCCACGGGGUCGCAAAGAGUCCAACAGGACUAAGCAACUUCACUUUCACUCCAUCCAGCAAUCUCAUUCUCUGUCGUCCUCUUCUUUUCUUGUUCCCAAUCCCUCCCAGCAUCAGAGUCUUUUCCAGUGAGUCAACUCUUCCCAUGAGGUGGCCAAAGUACUGGAGUUUCAGCUUUAGCAUCAUUCCUUCCAAAGAACACCCAGGACUGAUCUCCUUUAGGAUGGACUGGUUGGAUCUCCUUGCAGUCCAAGGGACUCUCAAGAGUCUUCUCCAACACCACAGCAUCAAUUCUUUGGCACUCAGCUUUCUUCACAGUCCAACUCUCACAUCCAUACAUGACCACUGGAAAAACCAUAGCCUUGACUAGAUGGACCUUUGUUGGCAAGGUAAUGUCUGUGCUUAUCAACAUGCUAUCUAGGUUGGUCAUAACUUUUCUUCCAAGGAGUAAACGUCUUUUAACUAUUGCAUUAGCCCCUAACAAAAGAGUCAGUUUGUCUUUUGAACCUUUGAGGCCAGGCUUAACUUCUCCUCUUUAGUGGUGGAAAUUCUACCUGCCAUCUUCUUCCAAUAGAAUGUUGUUUUAUUAAAAUUAAAAAUCUGUUGUUUAGUGUAACUACCUUCAUUACUUAUCUUCGCUGCAUCCUCUGGAUAAUUUGCUGUGGCUUCUACAUCAGCCCUUGCUGCUUUACCUUUAUCUUUUAUCUUAUGGAAAAAGCUUCUUUCCUUAAACUUCACAAACCAACCCCUGCUAGUUUUGAACUUUUCUUCUGCAGCUUCCUCACCUUCCUCAGUCUUCAAAGAAUUGAAGAGCUUUGCUCUGGAUUAGGUUUUUGCUUAAAGGAACGUUGUCAAUCAGUUCAGUAGCUCAGUCGUGUCCAACUCUUUGCGACUCCAUGGAUUGCAG
rnacentral:lncRNA from 1 species